rnacentral:rRNA from 1 species
AACCUGGUUGAUCCUGCCAGUAGUCAUAUGCUUGUCUCAAAGACUAAGCCAUGCAUGUCUAAGUAUAAGUAUUAUACAGCGAAACUGCGAAUGGCUCAUUAAAACAGUUAUAGUUUAUUUGAUAAUCGAAUUUACAUGGAUAACCGUGGUAAUUCUAGAGCUAAUACAUGCUGGUGAGCCCGACUCUUUGGAAGGGCGGUAUUUAUUAGAUAACAAGCCAAUAUUGCUUUGCUCUAUUGUGGUGACUCAUAAUAACUGAUCGAAUCGCAAAGCCUUUGGCUGCGAUACAUCAUUCAAGUUUCUGCCCCAUCAGCUUCCGUUGGUAGUGUAUUGGACUACCAUGGCGUUCACGGGUAACGGAGGAUUAGGGUUCGAUUCCGGAGAGGGAGCCUGAGAAACGGCUACCACAUCUAAGGAAGGCAGCAGGCGCGUAAAUUACCCAAUCCUGAUUCAGGGAGGUAGUGACAAGAAAUAACGGACCGAAGCCUUCGGGUUUCGGGACUGCAAUGAGCCGAAUUUACACCCCUUUGUGAGAAUCGAUGGGAGGGCAAGUCUGGUGCCAGCAGCCGCGGUAA